UACACACAGAUGCACUGGAGUCUGCUGCAUCUUUUGGCCUAGGCCACGCCCAUUUGCGUCUAUGAAUAUUUUUCGCUAAAUCGCGAAAACCGCAAAACUGUUUUUUCCCUACUCCUCCCACAUUUCUCGCCCAAUCAACACCAAACUUUGCACACGACAUCUUCAGACACACACGAAAAGGAAUCGUAUACAGUUUUUUGAUCCGACCUUCGACGACGAAACGGUAGCGUUUUGAAUAUUGGUUUAUGAGCUAAAUUAGACGUGGAAAAUCAAAAAUCCAAAGAAAUCCAAAAUUAGACAUCGGAACGAGUCCAAAUUGUACACACAUGUUGUAGAUAACCUUAAUGUCGUACGAUAAAAAAAUCGGAAAAUUUCGCCAUUAGGGGGCGCAAUAAACGAGGAAAUUGUAUAUCUUCUACAAAAUUUCGCCGCGAAAACGCUACACUGACUUCUCGCUACUCCUACCACAGUCAAAUCCUUUGUAUCCACAGGUUCAGGGUAGCGUUUUGAACACAUGCUUCGCGUUGUGCCGGCGAAAUGCACAUUUCUUGUCGCGUUGUGCCGGCGAAAUGCACACUUCUUGGACCCCUGCAUAACUGCUUGCAGUUCUAGUUAUUCUUACCUCCUUAAAAGUGACUCCACAGCCCAAACCGUAAAUGGUGCCGACACGCCAGUUGCAUGACUAGAUCCAGAUCUCUUCGGACUACGCAGACGACAAAAUCCAGACACGCCGGUCACUAGGUGGCGCUAUACCAAGGAAUACGCGUUUGGGGCUAUAACUCCCACACCGAACCUCCCACAGUCAAAAACUUGUCUGCCGCAUCUUUUGGCAUAGGCCACGCCUAUUUGCGUCUAUAAUUUCUUUUGGCAAAAUCGCGAAAACCGCUAAACUGCCUUUUCCCUAUUCCUCCCACAUUUUUUGACCAAUUGACACAAAACUUUGCACACGACAUCUUCAGACGCACACGAAAAAAAAAUCAAGGAACACUUUUUUGAUCCGACCAUCGAUGACGAAACGGUAGCGUUUUGAAUAUUUGUUUAUUAGCUACGUUUUACGUCGAAACGCAAAAAAUUCAAAAAAUACCAAAAUUAGACUUCGGAUCAAGUCCAGAUUUUAGACACAUGUCGGUGCUACCCUUAAUGGCGCUCAAUAAAAAAAUCUGAAUAUUUCGCCAUUAGGGGGUGCAAUAAACGAGGAAAUUGUAUAUCUUCUAAUUGGCCAAAGGAAUGUUCUUCAAACUAUAAGGGAACCAUCAAGGGGCAAACCCGAGUCUAUAUAAAAAAUAUGGCCAAGAAUUAUUAAUGUGGGCGGGAGUUAUUUGGCAAAGGAAAAUUGUCUUUGGAAAAUUUCGCCACAAGGGGGCGCAAAAAAACGACGAAAUAAUAUAUCUCCUAACUGGCCAAUGGAAUGUUCUGAAAACGCGUUUUGGGCUAUAUCUCCCACAACGAAGCUCCCACAGUCAAAAACACUUGGUUUCGUGCUGCCAGCCUUUUAGUGAGAUCAGAGAGGGUUGAGAAGGACAGAAAUAAAAUAUAUUUGGUAAGAUGGAUAUAAGAGAGACCCGCAGUGAAUUCAACCCGGUCUACUUGACAUCGGGGAGGUGCAUGACAGUGGUAGAUCUACCGUAAAACUUCAAUAGCCCAGGCAUUUACUUGUUUCAAUCACUGAACUUUCGAACAAAAUUCUGGCUCAGCAAAGAUGGGCAAUACUAUAACAUUUAUUAUUUAAACCAGUAUGAAUAUUCCUACCGUACUGCCUAUACACAUUACCAGGCGAUCGAAUAACACGCACGCACACAUGCGGUGGCGGAUUGGUAAUCGGGGUGACGCUGUCCGGCAGCCUGAGCUGUGUGCCAGCAACUUCACUCACUCAACAGACUCAACACUCAAAAACUGUAGACGUCGCAACCAAGUCGAUUUUGUCUAGAGGGGAGUAACUGAGCUGCCCCUCCCGAAGUGGUACAGCCCAGGUGGGCCUGGAACUGCGCUUGUUCAGAAUGACGUAACAGCUAAUGACAACAUUUAACUCUUGUGCAGGCUCGAACAGAGUGACACACAAACACCACACACACUUUGAUGGAGUUUUUCACCCGCUCGUAUCCUUGCUUGCCCCAACAAGUUUGUGCGGCGUGCUUGUUGUUUUGUUUCCGGUGUAGCUAGAUCCGGUAUGGUGUUCUAGUUUUUCUAACGUGAAUAGUUGUUGCUAGUAGAGCCCGACCGAUAUAUCGGCAGGCCGAUAUUAGGCAUUUUUCAAACUAUUCGGUAUCGGCAUUUAUAAUGGCCGAUAAAUGAAUAUAAAAAAAAAAAUAAAAAAAAGUUUGUCCACCAGAGGGUGCUCUAACGCCCCAAACCCGCGGAUUCAGGCA